UGUAUAGGAAUCUACCUAGUAGUACGGAAUAAUUGUUGGAAACGGCAACUAAUACCGUAUACGCCCUACGGGGGAAAAAUUUAUUGCUAUUAGAUGAGCCUAUAUUAGAUUAGUUAGUUGGUGAGGUAAAGGCUUACCAAGACAAUGAUCUAUAGCUGAUCUGAGAGGAUGAUCAGCCACACUGGAACUGAGAUACGGUCCAGCCUCCUACGGGAGGCAGCAGUGGGGAAUAUUGGACAAUGGGCGAAAGCCUGAUCCAGCCAUGCCGCAUGGGUGAAGAAGGCCUUCGGGUUGUAAAGCUCUUUUAGUGAGGAAGAUAAUGACGGUACUCACAGAAGAAGUCCUGGCUAACUCCGUGCCAGCAGCCGCGGUAAUACGGAGAGGGCUAGCGUUAUUCGGAAUCAUUGGGCGUAAAGGGCGCGUANGCGGGUUAGUAAGUUAAAAGUGAAAUCCCAAGGCUCAACCUUGGAACUGCUUUUAAAACUGCUAGUCUAGAGAUUGAAAGAGGAUAGAGGAAUUCCUAGUGUA
rnacentral:rRNA from 2 species